AUGUGCAGUAGACAUCUGAGGCACCUUAUUCUCCUUGCUGUGCCAUCAGCAAAAUCUCAUCACUCUAAUGAGGCCCUGUGGAAGCGAUUCCGAUUGCAUUGUGACAUCAGGCUUCAAAGGAAAAAGGUGAAGAUGAGGUUGGAGGAGGAGAAGGAAGCAAGAAGAGGAAAGGGAGAGAGAAUGGAAAGCUUUUCUUGGAGACUAGAGCUACAGACAGUGGAAAUACAAAUGCACUUUGUGGACCUUUCUGCAACUCUGAGGAGGAGGAGGAGGAGGAGGAGGAGGAGGAGGAGCACAUUACUUGCCAAACCCCAGACAUCUGCCUGCUUGCUCGCCAACCCUCACGGUAUCAUCUCUUAGAAGAUUGCAUGUCGCAGCUCACAUCCCUGCCAAGUCAUGAAAAUAAAUAUACACGCGGUAUUAAUAGCCUCUGGUAU
rnacentral:lncRNA from 12 species